AUUGAACGCUGGCGGCAGGCCUAACACAUGCAAGUCGAGCGCGCGCCGGACGGGUGUGUAUUGUAUGGGGACUGCCCGCUAGAGGGGGAUAACUACCGGUAACGCUAGCUAAUACCCCAUACUAUCGGAUAACCCAUAUGGGAUUAUCUCGUAGGUGAGGUAAUGGCUCACCUCGGCGACGAUCCCUAGCUGGUCUGAGAGGAUGAUCAGCCACACUGGGACUGAGAAACGGCCCAGAAUCCUACGGAGGAAGCAGUGGGGAAUAUUGAACAAUGGGCGCAAGCCUGAUGCAGCCAUGCCGCGUGUAUGAAGAAGGCCCUAGGGUUGUAAAGUACUUUCAGUCGGGAGGGGUUACCGACAGAAGAAGCACCGGCUAACUCCGUGCCAGCCGCCGCGGUAAUAC
rnacentral:rRNA from 1 species